UGGUACAGUGGUUAAACAUUUGGCUGCUAACCAAAAGGUCAGUAGUUUGAAUCCACU
rnacentral:tRNA from 1 species